rnacentral:rRNA from 1 species
GAUGAACGCUAGCGGGAGGCCUAAUACAUGCAAGUCGAGCGGUAGAGUCCUUCGGGGCGUUGAGAGCGGCGCACGGGUGAGUAACGCGUACAUGACCUGCCUUUAAGACUGGGAUAGCCCUGGGAAACUGGGAUUAAUACCGGAUGUGAUAAUAUGUAUAGAGAUAUAUUAUUAAAGAUGAGUCGCUUAGAGAUGGGUGUGCGUAUGAUUAGCUAGUUGGUAGGGUAACGGCCUACCAAGGCGACGAUCAUUAGGGGGCGUGAGAGCGUGGCCCCCCACACGGGUACUGAGACACGGACCCGACUCCUACGGGAGGCAGCAGUAAGGAAUAUUGGUCAAUGGACGGAAGUCUGAACCAGCCAUCCCGCGUGCAGGAUGAAAGUCCUAUGGAUUGUAAACUGCUUUUAGCAGAGGCGAAGACCUGACAUUUAUGUUGGAGUGACGGUAUCUGCAGAAUAAGCACCGGCUAACUCCGUGCCAGCAGCCGCGGUAAU